UCCAGACUCCUACGGGAGGCAGCAGUGGGGGAUAUUGCACAAUGGGGGGAACCCUGAUGCAGCGACGCCGCGUGGGUGAAGGAGCGUUUCGGCGCGUAAAGCCCUAUCGGCAGGGAAGAAGGAGGACGGUACCUGACUAAGAAGCCCCGGCUAACUACGUGCCAGCAGCCGCGGGAAUACGUAGGGGGCAAGCGUUAUCCGGAUUUACUGGGUGUAAAGGGGGCGCAGACGGCAGCGCAAGCCAGGAGUGAAAGCCCGGGGCCCAACCCCGGGACUGCUCUUGGAACUGCGCGGCUGGAGUGCAGGAGGGGCAGGCGGAAUUCCUGGUGUAGCGGUGAAAUGCGUAGAUAUCAGGAGGAACCCCGGUGGCGAAGGCGGCCUGCUGGGCAGUAACUGACGUUGAGGCUCGAAAGCGUGGGGAGCAAACAGGAUUAGAUGCCCGUGUAAA
rnacentral:rRNA from 1 species